rnacentral:rRNA from 1 species
UACGUAGGGGGCAAGCGUUGUCCGGAAUUAUUGGGCGUAAAGCGCGUGUAGGCGGCUUUGCAAGUCGGGUGUGAAAUCCCUCGGCUCAACCGAGGAAGUGCGCCCGAAACUGCAGAGCUUGAGUGCCGGAGAGGAUGGCGGAAUUCCCCAAGUAGAGGUGAAAUUCGUAGAUAUGGGGAGGAACACCGGUGGCGAAGGCGGCCAUCUGGACGGUAACUGACGCUGAGACGCGAAAGCGUGGGUAGCAAACAGG